rnacentral:rRNA from 1 species
GAUGAACGCUGGCGGCGUGCCUAAUACAUACAAGUCGAGCGAACGGACGAGAAGCUUGCUUCUCUGAUGUUAGCGGCGGACGGGUGAGUAACACGUGGAUAACCUACCUAUAAGACUGGGAUAACUUCGGGAAACCGGAGCUAAUACCGGAUAAUAUUUUGAACCGCAUGGUUCAAAAGUGAAAGACGGUCUUGCUGUCACUUAUAGAUGGAUCCGCGCUGCAUUAGCUAGUUGGUAAGGUAACGGCUUACCAAGGCAACGAUGCAUAGCCGACCUGAGAGGGUGAUAGGCCACACUGGAACUGAGACACGGUCCAGACUCCUACGGGAGGCGGCAGUAGGGAAUCUUCCGCAAUGGGCGAAAGCAUGACGGAGCAACGCCGCGUGAGUGAUGAAGGUCUUCGGAUCGUAAAACUCUGUUAUGAGGGAAGAACAUAUGUGUAAGUAACUGUGCACAUCUUGACGGUACCUAAUCAGAAAGCCACGGCUAACUACGUG